UACGUAGGGGGCUAGCGUUGUCCGGAAUCAUUGGGCGUAAAGCGCGUGUAGGCGGUCCGGUAAGUCCGCUGUGAAAGUCGGGGGCUCAACCCUCGGAUGCCGGUGGAUACUGUCGGGCUCGAGUACGGAAGAGGCGAGUGGAAUUCCUGGUGUAGCGGUGAAAUGCGCAGAUAUCAGGAGGAACACCAAUUGCGAAGGCAG
rnacentral:rRNA from 1 species